rnacentral:rRNA from 1 species
GCAGUAGCCACGGGAAUACAGAGGGUGCGAGCGUUAAUCGGAUUUACUGGGCGUAAAGCGUGCGUAGGCGGCUUCUUAAGUCGGAUGUGAAAUCCCUGAGCUUAACUUAGGAAUUGCAUUCGAUACUGGGAAGCUAGAGUAUGGGAGAGGAUGGUAGAAUUCCAGGUGUAGCGGUGAAAUGCGUAGAGAUCUGGAGGAAUACCGAUGGCGAAGGCAGCCAUCUGGCCUAAUACUGACGCUGAGGUACGAAAGCAUGGGGAGCAAACAGGAUUAGAUACCCGCGUAGUCCCUGUCUCUUAUAU